rnacentral:rRNA from 1 species
UACAGAGGUGGCAAGCGUUGCUCGGAAUUACUGGGCGUAAAGGGCGCGUAGGCGGCCAUCUAAGUCAGACGUGAAAUCCCUCGGCUUAACCGGGGAACUGCGUCUGAUACUGGAUGGCUUGAGUUCGGGAGAGGGAUGCGGAAUUCCAGGUGUAGCGGUGAAAUGCGUAGAUAUCUGGAGGAAUACCGGUGGCGAAGGCGGCAUCCUGGACCGACAUUGACGCUGAGGAGCGAAAGCUAGGGGAGCAAACGGG